CAAGGCCUUACUCAAUAUUUUAGCAACUCAUUACAGGUCGAACAUGCUUAUCCCAUAACAUUCCACACAUUAAUGGACGGUAUAAUAAAAAAGAUUUUAAUUUCUUUUUCUUCCUUAAUAUCAUCCAAUCUUGUAAGACCACCUUGCCAAACAAGCCAAUACUAUGUUACAAGCAAGAAUGAAACACAUUUGCAUUGAUAUAAUUUCAUGCUUUCAGCAAUUUAAGGGCCCUUAAUCAAUAGUCGGCUUAAUUUUCAAUCUUGACGGUGAAAAAACUCAAAAGGACAACUAAAUGUUCAUCAAGAAAACCUAUAAAGUUUUAUUGGAUUUACUUCUACUUUAUUCUCAUUGAAUAAUGAUAAAUGAAAGACCUAAACAUAAGUAAAUCUAAGUCAUAGAACUGAAAUCUGCAUUGAAACCUUUCGAAUAUAUCUAGUAUGGUUUUUUGUUUUACCUUGGAGACCUACUUGAGAGACACCUUCCACAUGAGACAAAUUUCAGCAAAGUUUUAGGCUUCCUCGUUCUGAUUUUCAAGCGCGAAAGCUGCAUAUACAGAUAUCCAUG
rnacentral:lncRNA from 1 species